rnacentral:rRNA from 1 species
CGGAUCGUAAAGCUCUGUUGUUAGGGAAGAACAAGUGCCGUUCAAAUAGGGCGGCACCUUGACGGUACCUAACCAGAAAGCCACGGCUAACUACGUGCCAGCAGCCGCGGUAAUACGUAGGUGGCAAGCGUUGUCCGGAAUUAUUGGGCGUAAAGGGCUCGCAGGCGGUUUCUUAAGUCUGAUGUGAAAGCCCCCGGCUCAACCGGGGAGGGUCAUUGGAAACUGGGGAACUUGAGUGCAGAAGAGGAGAGUGGAAUUCCACGUGUAGCGGUGAAAUGCGUAGAGAUGUGGAGGAACACCAGUGGCGAAGGCGACUCUCUGGUCUGUAACUGACGCUGAGGAGCGAAAGCGUGGGGAGCGAACAGGAUUAGAUACCCUGGUAGUCCACGCCGUAAACGAUGAGUGCUAAGUGUUAGGGGGUUUCCGCCCCUUAGUGCUGCAGCUAACGCAUUAAGCACUCCGCCUGGGGAGUACGGUCGCAAGACUGAAACUCAAAGGAAUUGACGGGGGCCCGCACAAGCGGUGGAGCAUGUGGUUUAAUUCGAAGCAACG